UGGCUGAGACGGUAAAGAAUCUGCCUGCAAUGCAGGAGACCCGGGUUCGAUCCCUGG
rnacentral:tRNA from 1 species